GUGAACGAGCGAUGCCGCGUGCGGGAUGAAGGCUUUCGGGUUGUAAACCGCUGUCGUAGGGGAGCAAGACCGCAAGGUUUGAGCGAUCCUAGGAGGAAGGACCGGCUAAGUCUGUGCCAGCAGCCGCGGUAAUACAGACGGUCCAAACGUUAUUCGGAAUCACUGGGCUUAAAGAGUUCGUAGGCGGUCAGGAAAGUGGGGUGUGAAAGCCCUCGGCUCAACCGAGGAAUUGCGCUCCAAACUACCUGACUUGAGUAGGCUAGAGGUAAGCGGAACUGAUGGUGGAGCGGUGAAAUGCGUUGAUAUCAUCAGGAACACCGGAGGCGAAGGCGGCUUACUGGGGCCUUUCUGACGCUGAGGAACGAAAGCUAGGGGAGCGAACGGGAUUAGAUACCCCGGUAGUCCUAGCCCUAAACGAU
rnacentral:rRNA from 1 species